GCGGGAGUGGCGAAAUAGGUAGACGCUCCAGAUUUAGGUUCUGGUACCAAUAGGUAUACGAGUUCAAAUCUCGUCUCCCGUA
rnacentral:tRNA from 1 species